rnacentral:rRNA from 1 species
AUGAACGCUGGCGGCGUGCUUAACACAUGCAAGUCGAACGAAGCACUUUAUUUGAUUUCUUUGGAAUGAAGAUUUUGUGACUGAGUGGCGGACGGGUGAGUAACGCGUGGGUAACCUGCCUCAUACAGGGGGAUAACAGUUGGAAACGACUGCUAAUACCGCAUAAGCGCACAGGGUCGCAUGACCUGGUGUGAAAAACUCCGGUGGUAUGAGAUGGACCCGCGUCUGAUUAGCCAGUUGGUGGGGCAACGGCCUACCAAAGCGACGAUCAGUAGCCGACCUGAGAGGGUGACCGGCCACAUUGGGACUGAGACACGGCCCAAACUCCUACGGGAGGCAGCAGUGGGGAAUAUUGCACAAUGGGGGAAACCCUGAUGCAGCGACGCCGCGUGAGCGAAGAAGUAUUUCGGUAUGUAAAGCUCUAUCAGCAGGGAAGAAGAAAUGACGGUACCUGACUAAGAAGCACCGGCUAAAUACGUGCCAGCAGCCGCGGUAAUACGUAUGGUGCAAGCGUUAUCCGGAUUUACUGGGUGUAAAGGGAGCGCAGGCGGUACGGCAAGUCUGAUGUGAAAGCCCGGGGCUCAACCCCGGUACUGCAUUGGAAACUGUCGGACUAGAGUGUCGGAGGGGUAAGUGGAAUUCCUAGUGUAGCGGUGAAAUGCGUAGAUAUUAGGAGGAACACCAGUGGCGAAGGCGGCUUACUGGACGAUUACUGACGCUGAGGCUCGAAAGCGUGGGGAGCAAACAAGAUUAGAUACCCUGGUAGUCCACGCCGUAAACG